GAUCAUGGCUCAGGAUGAACGCUAGCUACAGGCUUAACACAUGCAAGUCGAGGGGCAGCUGGAAGUCAGCUUGCUGACUUUGCCGGCGACCGGCGCACGGGUGAGUAACACGUAUCCAACCUCCCGCAUACUCGGGAAUAGCCCUUCGAAAGAAAGAUUAAUGCCCGAUGGUUUCAAGGGAUUGCAUGGUAUCUUGAAUAAAGAUUCAUCGGUAUGCGAUGGGGAUGCGUU
rnacentral:rRNA from 1 species